UUUCCGUAGGUGAACCAGCGGAAGGAUCAUUAUUGUAUAACAGAGGUACGAGGCCUGUCGCGUACCCAACAGGUCGUACACGCCAGAAUACCCUCACACACGACAAUCUCACCCCCAAGGGCAGCACGCCGGGGGCCCCCAUUCGGCGUGUUCGGCGGGGGGCAUACGUUUUGCCACAGACUUUGUAUGCAGUGUAGGAUGUAUUUAGUGUUUUGGCGAUUACGCAAGCAAGACAACUUUCAUCAACGGUUCUCUUGGAUCCCACAACGCUGAAUAAGU
rnacentral:misc_RNA from 1 species